UUUUCAUACUGUAUUUACAGUCAAUGUCUUGCUUUUCUCUCAACAUCGUAGAAGCAUCUUGUGGUGUUGCUAUUAGUCAUUCCCCUUUUAAAGGCUGCAUAGUGUUACAAGUGAGGGAUGGGCGGUGAUGGGCGCCAUUCUGAACCUCAGAGGAAGGAAGGGAGGGGAGAUGGAGGUGGUAUAGAAAGCUAUCUUUGGGGCUCAGAGGUCGGGAGCUCUACCCCCUACAGUGGGAUCUGGGGAAAGUGCCCCUUGCUCUGAGGAGUUGAGGCAGAGUGAUUUUCCCAGGUGUGUGAGGCUUAAAGGACUAAUUUAAACGGAACAGAAUAGGCACUGUUUGUUUGGGCCUGGACCAAGAGAGGUGCUGAGGAGAGGGAGAAAUCCCAGAAUGGGGGGUGGGGGGAGUGUCUCUGGUCUGGAACAAAUGGGCAGGCCCCAGGAGGGACAGUGCAGAUCGGGGCAGACACAGUGUCCCAGGAGGCAGGGCCAGUGAUCACGAGGCAUGUGGAGUCAGCCUCUUGGUAUGAGGCUAAGGAAGAGUUUCGGAGUGGAAGAAAAGGAAGUAGAGGAGGGAAGAGUUUGUAAUCAACUCCUGGGAGGAUGAGGACUCAGAGGAGAAGACUUGAUCAAGAUACACAUGGGCAGGAUGGUACAGGGACACAGCUACCUGAGUGUUCACCAGCGUCGCUGGGGAGUGGACUUUUGGUGUCAAGAAGGGCAAGGGGACUCACAUACUGGGGCAGGUCCCCACUGACAAGGUGGGUCUGUAGAAGCACAUUGGCCUUUUGUAGUUUUCCUGAAUGUAAACUCAGCUCUCUGAACCUUGACCUUCCAUAUACAGGGUGGGGGGGUACCUUCUACCCAUAAGACUGCUGUGGAAUUAAACCAAACGUAUUAGAAAUACCCAAGGGGCUGCCAGGCACAUUGUCCAUCCUGUACAUGCUAACUUUGGUACUCACCCACCUCAUCCUUCGCAAAAGAUUGACAGCUGUUCUGAACAAUCUAUUAGAUGUUCCUCUCAGUCCUGGGACUGUUGGAGAAUGUGACCAUCUGCACCCACCUGAGGAGAGGGUGAGAGUGGGUCAGGGGCGUCAGUUGACUGGAUUCCCAAAAGUAGGAAACAGAUGAAGUAGAGUGCCUGCUGGGGUUAUUUCCCCAGACUCAUUGUCAGCUCCCCGACUAUGGGAACAUGUCAGAGUUGUAUUUGGGCAGUGUUUCACUUAAGCUUAAGAACAAAAGUACUAGGGCUGGAGAGAUGGCUCAGGGGUUAAGAGCACUGCCUGUUCUUCCAGAGGUCCUGAGUUCAGUUCCCAGCCACCACAUGGUGGCUCACAACCAUCUGUAAUGAGAUCUGUUGCCCUCUUCUGGACUGCAGGGAUACAUGCAGACAGAACACUGUAUACACAAUAAAUAAAUAAAUAAAUAAAUAAAUAAAUAAAUAAACCUAUCAAAAAAAAAAAAAAAAAAAAAAGAACAAAAGUACUGGGC
rnacentral:lncRNA from 1 species